AUACUUACCUGGCAGGGGAGAUACCAUGAUCACGAAGGUGGUUUUCCCAGGGCGAGGCUUAUCCAUUGCACUCCGGAUGUGCUGACCCCUGCGAUUUCCCCAAAAAACAAAACAAAAAAAAAUGAAGUUCAGAGAAGUUAGGUCACAUACUC
ensembl:snRNA U1 U1 spliceosomal RNA